CUGUUGGAGAUAUUUGGACGUUUAAGCGCUCGUUGAACUCCAUUUCACAGUGCUAAUGCAAUGCACUACCGUUUAAGCGUCGAAACAAGCAAAAUAGCUCGCAAAUCGCGAAGAUUUCGUCGAUUUUGAUGAAAUCUAGAAGUCAUUGCCUUCCCGUUGGAGAUAUUUCGACGUUUAAGCGCUCGUUGAGCUCCAUUUCACAGUGCUAAUGCAAUGCACUACCGUUUAAGCGUCGAAACAAGCAAAAUAGCUCGCAAAUCGCGAAGAUUUCGUCGAUUUUAGUGAAAUCUAGCCGUCAUUUUCUUCCCGUUGGAGAUAUUUCGACGUUUAAGCGCCCGUUGAACUCCAUUUCACAGUGCUAGUGUAAUGCACUACCGUUUAAGCGUCCAACAAGCAAAAUAGCUCGCAAAUCGCGAAGAUUUCGUCGAUUUUGAUGAAAAAUAGGCGUCAUUUCCUUCCCGUUGGAGAUAUUUCGACGUUUAUGCGGUCGUUGAACUCCGCUUCACAGUGCUAAUGCAAUGCACGACCGUUUAAGCGACGAAACAAGCAAAAUAGCUCGCAAAUCGCGAAGAUUUCGUCGAUUUUGACGAAAAAUAGCCGUAAUUUCCGUCCCGAUGGAGAUAUUGCAACGUUUAAGCGCUCAUUUCACUCCGUUUUACACUGCAAAUGUAAGGCACUACCGUUUAAGCGUCGAAACAACCAAAAUAGCUCGCAAAUCGCGAAGAUUUCGUCGAUUUUGAUGAAAUCUAGCCGUCAUUUCCUUCCCGUUGGAGAUAUUUCGACGUAUAAGCGCUCGUUGAACUCCAUUUCACAGUGCUAAUGCAAUGCACUACCGUUUAAGCGUCGAAACAAGCAAAAUAGCUCGCAAAUCGCGAAGAUUUCGUCGAUUUUGAUGAAAUCUAGAAGUCAUUGCCUUCCCGUUGGAGAUAUUUCGACGUUUAAGCGCUCGUUGAGCUCCAUUUCACAGUGCUAAUGCAAUGCACUACCGUUUAAGCGUCGAAACAAGCAAAAUAGCUCGCAAAUCGCGAAGAUUUCGUCGAUUUUAUGAAAUCUAGCCGUC